rnacentral:rRNA from 1 species
UGCAGUCGAACGAUGAACUGGAGCUUGCUCCAGGGAUUAGUGGCGAACGGGUGAGUAACACGUGAGUAACCUGCCCUUGACUCUGGGAUAAGCGCUAGAAAUGGCGUCUAAUACCGGAUACGAGCUUCAGCCGCAUGGCUAGGAGUUGGAAAGAAUUUUGGUCAAGGAUGGACUCGCGGCCUAUCAGCUAGUUGGUGAGGUAAUGGCUCACCAAGGCGACGACGGGUAGCCGGCCUGAGAGGGUGACCGGCCACACUGGGACUGAGACACGGCCCAGACUCCUACGGGAGGCAGCAGUGGGGAAUAUUGCACAAUGGGCGAAAGCCUGAUGCAGCAACGCCGCGUGAGGGAUGACGGCCUUCGGGUUGUAAACCUCUUUUAGUAGGGAAGAAGCGAAAGUGACGGUACCUGCAGAAAAAGCACCGGCUAACUACGUGCCAGCAGCCGCGGUAAUACGUAGGGUGCAAGCGUUGUCCGGAAUUAUUGGGCGUAAAGAGCUCGUAGGCGGUUUGUCGCGUCUGCUGUGAAAUCUGGGGGCUCAACCCCCAGCCUGCAGUGGGUACGGGCAGACUAGAGUGCGGUAGGGGAGAUUGGAAUUCCUGGUGUAGCGGUGGAAUGCGCAGAUAUCAGGAGGAACACCGAUGGCGAAGGCAGAUCUCUGGGCCGUAACUGACGCUGAGGAGCGAAAGCAUGGGGAGCGAACAGGAUUAGAUACCCUGGUAGUCCAUGCCGUAAACGUUGGGAACUAGAUGUGGGGGCCAUUCCACGGUCUCCGUGUCGCAGCUAACGCAUUAAGUUCCCCGCCUGGGGAGUACGGCCGCAAGGCUAAAACUCAAAGGAAUUGACGGGGGCCCGCACAAGCGGCGGAGCAUGCGGAUUAAUUCGAUGCAACGCGAAGAACCUUACCAAGGCUUGACAUAUACCGGAAACGUCCAGAGAUGGUCGCCCCGCAAGGUCGGUAUACAGGUGGUGCAUGGUUGUCGUCAGCUCGUGUCGUGAGAUGUUGGGUUAA